AUGGCCACCGCCUCCGCCGCCGCCGCAAACCUCUACCUCCGCCUGCCGUCGACACUCCCCUGUACAGUUUCCUUCCCCACCCGCCUCUCGCGCAUUCCACGCGCUCCGCCGCGACGCCUCAGGACGGCCGCCUCGCGAACCCUAGCACCGCCCGCCACAUCGGAAGUCCCGGAGGCGGAGGAGCUGCGGCUGGAGGCUGAGUCCGCGCUGGAAUGGGACGGCGUGUGCGCGCGGCUGGCCGACUUCGCCGCCACCGCCGCGGGCCGCGCCGCCUGCGGGGAGGGCCGAGUCCCCGUCGGCCGCAGCCGGGAGGAGAGUGAGCGGCUGCUCGAGCAGACCGCCGCCGCGUCGCUGCUUACGGCGCCGCUGGAUUUCGGCGGCGUGGGCGACGUGUCCGCCGUCGUCGCCGCGGCCGCCCGUGGCCGGCUGCUCGCCGUGCGGGAGAUAUGCGGCGUAGGGCGCAGCCUGCGGGCCGCGCGCGGGGUGUUCGACCAAGUGAAGAGGCUCGCCGAGGAGAUGCCAGCAGAUGGGAGGUACUCCUCUCUUCUGGAUAUACUGCAGGGCUGCGACUUCUUGACAGAACUUGUAAAAAUGAUCGAGUUUUGCCUUGACUCCAAUCUCUCUAUGGUCCUUGAUCGGGCCAGCGAAAGACUAGGAGCGAUCCGCAAGGAAAGGAAGAUGAAUGUCGAGAUGCUAGAAUCCCUGUUGAGAGAUACAUCCGUGAAGAUUUUCCAGGCAGGCGGGGUUGAUAGUCCUGUGGUCACUAAGCGCCGCUCUAGAAUGUGUGUUGGUGUUAAAGCUUCGCACAAACAUUUGGUGCCUGGUGGAAUUGUUCUGAGUUCAAGUGGCUCUGGUGUGACCUACUUUAUGGAGCCAAGGGAUGCUGUCAAGCUGAACAACACUGAAGUAAAACUCUCAGGAGAUGAGAGAGCUGAGGAGUUGGCGGUAUUGGGCUUACUAACUUCAAGAAUAGCAGAGUCCCGGAUGAAGAUCAGGCAUUUGAUGGGGAAAAUAUUGGAGCUGGACCUGGCUUGUGCCAGAGGUUCAUAUGCCCUAUGGAUAAAUGGCGUGAGGCCUGCCUUCAGUGACAGGGAUAGCAGUAGUGAAUCGGACCCAAGUGGCGCAUAUUCAGUAUUUAUUGAAGGCAUUCAACAUCCUUUGCUCCUUGAACAGUCCCUUGGUACUGUAGAAGAAUUGUCCACUGAAGCAACUGAAGUGGGGAAAGAACAGCUAUCUGAAGACCACCCUGUCCCUUCAAUGCCUGUUCCAUUGGACAUGCAUGUGAAGAACAAUACUAGGAUAGUUGUGAUCUCCGGACCUAACACUGGAGGCAAAACUGCUACUAUGAAGACCUUGGGACUGGCCUCUCUUAUGUCAAAAGCUGGAAUGUUCUUCCCGGCCAAAGGAAGGCCUAGGCUUCCAUGGUUUGAUCAGGUUCUUGCAGACAUUGGUGACCACCAGUCUCUGGAGAAUAGCCUCUCUACCUUCAGCGGGAACAUAUCACGUCUUCGCAAGAUUGCACAAGUUGUAUCAACAGAUUCGCUUGUUCUUAUUGAUGAGAUUGGCAGCGGUACUGACCCAUCCGAAGGUGUAUCCCUUUCAACUAGCAUUUUGAAGUAUCUUGCUAGUAGAUUAAACUUGGCCGUUGUGACAACCCAUUAUGCUGAUCUAAGCCGUCUUAAGGCUGUUGAUGAUCGAUUUGAGAAUGCUGCAAUGGAAUUUUGUUUGAAAACUCUGAAACCAACAUAUCGAGUAUUAUGGGGAAGUACCGGUAAUUCGAAUGCAUUGAGCAUUGCAAAGUCAAUUGGCUUUGAUCAGAAAGUACUCGAUCGUGCACAAGAAUGGGUUGAGAAACUAUUGCCUGACAAACAAAAGGAACGCCAAGGUUUACUUUAUGGCUCUCUGCUGGACGAAAGAAACCUUCUGGAGUCCCAGGCAAAUGAAGUAGCAUCUGUUCUUUCAGAGGUUGAGGAUCUUUACAAUGAGAUUCGCUUAGAAGCUGAUGAGCUAGAUAGCCGAGUAGCUGCUUUGAAGGCAAAAGAGUCUCAAAAGGUGCAACAAGAGUUGAAGUCUGUAAAGUCUCAGAUGGACCUUCUAAUCAAGAACUUUGAAGUUCAGUUAAAGAAUUCAAAACUUGAACAGUACAACUCAAUAAUGAGGAAAGCAGAAUCUGCGACCGCCUCAUUGGCUGCUGCUCAUCAGCCAACUGAGUUUGCUGUCAGCGACGAUGAAAACAAGAGUUCAUAUGUUCCACAAAUUGGAGACAAAGUGUAUGUGGAAGGCCUGGGAGGGGGGAGUAUGGCCACUGUUGUUGAGAUACUCAGUGAAGAUGGGAGCUGUAUGGUUCAGUAUGGAAAAAUAAAGGUCCGGGCCAAGAAUAACAAGAUGAAGUUGGCCCAGAGAGACACGAAGGAAACAUCGGCUUCUUCCUCGGCACAAGGAAAGGGACGAGCGCAGAAGCGGUCUCCGGCGGGGACUGCGGCUACUGGCAGUGUGUCCUUUGCCCCGGCGGUGCAGACGUCGAGGAACACGGUGGACCUGCGGGGGAGGCGGGUCGGGGAGGCGUCUCACGAGCUGGAGAUGGCGAUCGACGAGUGCAGGCCAUACCAGGUCCUCUUUGUGGUCCACGGCAUGGGCACCGGGGCGGUGAAGGAGUGCGCGCUCGACGUGCUCCGGAGCCAUCCCCGGGUGGUGAGGAUCGAGGACGAGAGCCCGCUCAACUACGGGUGCACCGUCGCCUACAUCGAGUGA
rnacentral:rRNA from 1 species